rnacentral:rRNA from 1 species
AAGAAAUUUACAAAGGGCGUACGGAGGAUGCCUGGGCUUCCGGAGGCGAAGAAGGGCGUGACAAGCUGCGAAAAGCUGCGGGGAUUGGCAAAUACGAAUUGAUCCGCAGAUACCCGAAUGGGACAACCCAUCCUGAUUUUAUUGGGAUAUUCCGGUUUAACGACCGGGAGGCUAACCCGGGGAACUGAAACAUCUAAGUACCCGGAGGAAGAGAAAACAACAGUGAUUUUCAGAGUAGCGGCGAGCGAAAUGGGAAUAGCCCAAAUCCGGCUGGUUUUGGCUGGUCGGAGGUAGUAGGAGUUGCCAUUGGUUUAUAUGGGUUAUAAGUGGAAAGGUUUUGGAAAAGCCUACCAUAGGGGGUGAUAGUCCCGUACACGUAGAUGAUUUAUAUAACAGGCGGCCACCUGAGUAGGUCGGGGCACGAGGAACCCAGACUGAAUCUGCCAGGACCAUCUGGCAAGGCUAAAUACUCCUGGAAGACCGAUAGCGAACAAGUACCGUGAGGGAAAGGUGAAAAGCACCCCAAGCAGGGGAGUGAAACAGAACCUGAAACCGUACGCUUACAAGCGGUAGGAGCUCUAAUAUAUUAGGGUGACUGCGUGCCUUUUGCAUAAUGAGCCUACGAGUUAAUCGUCAUUAGCGAGGCUAAUCCUUAAAGAGGAGUACCCGAAGCGAAAGCGAGUCUUAACAGGGCGUAAUAGUUAGUGGCGUUAGACGCGAAACCCGGUGAUCUACCCAUGGCCAGGUUGAAGUUUUGGUAACACAAAAUGGAGGACCGAACCAGGAAGCGUUGAAAAGCUUUUGGAUGAGCUGUGGGUAGGGGUGAAAGGCCAAUCAAACCGGGAAAUAUCUCGUACUCCCCGAAAUGCAUUUAGGUGCAGCCUUGUAAUAUUUUUGCAGAGGUAGAGCUACUGAUUGGAUGCGAGGGCUUCGCCGCCUAUCAAAUCCAGACAAACUCCGAAUGCUGCAAAAAGAUUUACAGGAGUGAGGGCAUGGGUGCUAAGGUCCAUGUCCGAGAGGGGAACAACCCGGACCAACAGCUAAGGUCCCUGAGUGUAUGCUAAGUUGUACAAACGCGGUUUGGCUGCGGUGACAGCUAGGAUGUUGGCUUGGAAGCAGCCAUUCAUUUAAAGAGUGCGUAACAGCUCACUAGUCGAGCGGCCGGGCAUGGAUAAUAAACGGGCAUAAGCAUACCACCGAAGCUAUGGUUUUGAUAUAAUUAUAUUAUAUUAAGAGGUAGGGGAGCAUUCCGGAUUUGCAGAAGUAUAGAUGUGAGUUUAUAUGAAGGAUUUGGAAGAGCAAAUGUAGGCAUAAGUAACGAUAAAGGGGGUAAGAAACCUCCUCGCCGAUAGACUAAGGUUUCCUGAUCAACGCUAAUCGGAUCAGGGUAAGCCGGGGCCUAAGGAUAUCCCGCAAGGGUAAUUCGAUGGUAAGCGGGUCAACAUUCCCGCGCCCGUAUUUUGAUAAAAGUGACGGAGUGACAAGGGUGUUAGGUACUGACGGAAUAGUACGUUGAGCUUAGCCUUCGGGCGAAGCGAAACACAUUAGUUGCUUCCGAGAAAAGCGAGAGAUACGGCCCGUACCGCAAACCGACACAGGUAGUCAAGGAGAGAAUCCUGAGGCGCUCGAGUGAUUCGCGGCUAAGGAACUAGGCAAAAUGACCCCGUAACUUAGGGAGAAGGGGAUCCUUGUUAUGGUUUUCCCCCAUAUUGGGUGAUUAUUAUGACAGGGACGCAGAGAAAUGGCCCAGGCGACUGUUUAUCAAAAACACAGGGCUCUGCCAAAGCGAAAGCUGACGUAUAGGGCCUGACACCUGCCCGGUGCCGGAAGGUUAAGGGGAGAGCUAAUUUUGGCGCAAGCCGGGAGAAGGUUUGAACCGAAGCCCCGGUAAACGGCGGCCGUAACUAUAACGGUCCUAAGGUAGCGAAAUUCCUUGUCGGGUAAGUUCCGACCUGCACGAAUGGUGUAACGAUCUGGGCACUGUCUCGGCCGCGAGCUCGGUGAAAUUGAAGUAACGGUGAAGAUGCCGUUUACCCGCAACGGGACGGAAAGACCCCGUGAACCUUUACUGCAACUUCGCAUUGGCUCUGGGUAAGUGAUGUGUAGGAUAGGACGGAGGCUGUGAAUCGUGUUCGCCAGGAUACGUGGAGUCAUCCUUGAAAUACGUCCCUUUGCUUAUCUGGCGUCUAAUCCGCCAUUUGGCGGAGACAUUGCGUGGUGGGUAGUUUGACUGGGGUGGUCGCCUCCAAAAGUGUAACGGAGGCUUCCAAAGGUACCCUCAUGGCGAUUGGUAACCGUCAACAGAGCGUAAUGGUAUAAGGGUGCUUGACUGUGAGGCCGACGGGCCGAUCAGGUGGGAAACCAGGGCAUAGUGAUCCGGUGGUUCCGUAUGGAAGGGCCAUCGCUCAAAGGAUAAAAGGUACUCCGGGGAUAACAGGCUGAUCGCUCCCAAGAGCUCAUAUCGACGGAGCGGUUUG